AAUCCAUAGGUUAAUGAGGCGAACCGGGGGAACUGAAACAUCUAAGUACCCCGAGGAAAAGAAAUCAACCGAGAUUCCCCCAGUAGCGGCGAGCGAACGGGGAGGAGCCCAGAGCCUGAAUCAGCAUGUGUGUUAGUGGAAGCGUCUGGAAAGGCGCGCGAUACAGGGUGACAGCCCCGUACACAAAAGCGCAUGUGCUGUGAGCUCGAUGAGUAGGGCGGGACACGUGGUAUCCUGUCUGAAUAUGGGGGGACCAUCCUCCAAGGCUAAAUACUCCUGACUGACCGAUAGUGAACCAGUACCGUGAGGGAAAGGCGAAAAGAACCCCGGCGAGGGGAGUGAAAAAGAACCUGAAACCGUGUACGUACAAGCAGUGGGAGCACCCUUUGGGUGUGACUGCGUACCUUUUGUAUAAUGGGUCAGCGACUUAUAUUCUGUAGCAAGGUUAACCGAAUAGGGGAGCCGGAGGGAAACCGAGUCUUAACCGGGCGUUAAGUUGCAGGGUAUAGACCCGAAACCCGGUGAUCUAGCCAUGGGCAGGUUGAAGGUUGGGUAACACUAACUGGAGGACCGAACCGACUAAUGUUGAAAAAUUAGCGGAUGACCUGUGGCUGGGGGUGAAAGGCCAAUCAAACCGGGAGAUAGCUGGUUCUCCCCGAAAGCUAUUUAGGUAGCGCCUCGUGAAUUCAUCUCCGGGGGUAGAGCACUGUUUCGGCUAGGGGGCCAUCCCGGCUUACCAACCCGAUGCAAACUGCGAAUACCGGAGAAUGUUAUCACGGGAGACACACGGCGGGUGCUAACGUCCGUCGUGAAGAGGGAAACAACCCAGACCGCCAGCUAAGGUCCCAAAGUCAUGGUUAAGUGGGAAACGAUGUGGGAAGGCCCAGACAGCCAGGAUGUUGGCUUAGAAGCAGCCAUCAUUUAAAGAAAGCGUAAUAGCUCACUGGUCGAGUCGGCCUGCGCGGAAGAUGUAACGGGGCUAAACCAUGCACCGAAGCUGCGGCAGCGACACUGUGUGU
rnacentral:rRNA from 2 species